UCGUUGAGCAGCUGCCUCGGGCGAUUCGUGAUUUUAUUUUGAAGGCCUUGCUUCCGGUUUCAUAGCGAGCGCUUGGAUCAACUGGACUUUGACGUCGAAAAGGAGGGAAGUUAAGCCGGCUGCGACCCUUUAAAGUUGCUCUCAAAACGAGGACCGGUUUGCAGCGUGAGGACGGACCGGCGGCGUGAACAGCCAGAGAAAUGACUGACCUGUACGUCUCCUUGGCGGUGUUGGGAGCCGCGCUGCUCCUCUGCGAGGCGACCCGCCGGGCAGCAGCGCGUCUUUCCCCGGGAGCUUAUCGGAUUUACCUGCUGGAAGCGGCGUCCACCUUCCAGCUCUGCUGCUGCACGCAUGAACUCAAACUGCUGGGCGAAACGGCCCGGCUGGAGCCGCCGGUCGGCCUGACUCUCACCUACAUCAUGACGGUUAUCCACAUACUAACUUUCCAGGGAGCAACGUGUAACCCCAGCGCGGUCCUGGAGAGCGUCUGCCGCGGGACCAGAAGCGUCCGGGCAGCCGUCGCUGUCACAACCUGCCAGUUUGGCGCUGCAGUCGCCGCGCAGCUUUUCGCCAAAUCCGUGUGGUCGCUGGGUCUUUCGGACGUCCACAUCAGGCACCAGAGGUUCGGGUACAGAUGCUUCGACCCCCUCGGGGGGACAGUGCUGGAGGCUGCGGCCGUCGAGCUGGCCUGCGCGUUUGCUGUCCAGGCUGCGGCCAUGCACGUCCACAAACUGGACGAAAAACUUCAGGCUCACUUCAUCGCUGCUGUCGUCACUGCUCUGGUUUUCGCAGGUGUGCUGAUGAAUAAAGCCGGCCGUGAUCAGCCAUCACUGAUCAUAAUGACUCGCCUCACACAUCUGCUGUGCAUUAACUGGUGGGAGUAUUUCAGGAGCCAUGUUUAACCCCGUCCUGGCCUUCUCCGUCCAGUUCCCCUGCAGCGGUCACACCUACCUGGAGUACUGCUUUGUCUACUGGCUGGGACCAGUUUUAGGCCUGGCGGGCUGCAUCCUCCUGUUUGAGAAGAUCAUCCCUUUCCUCUCUGGGAAGAGCACCGCUGGGCUGGAGGUUCCCGCCGACCACAAAGAGAAGACACAGUAGCAGCGAUGCCAAGGCAGCCAAAGUUUACGUUCAGCUCGUGAAUGAUAGCAGAUGGCUGGAAGAGGAAAGAUACUGCAACAGUUUAAGAAGGAAAAUCACUUGCAAAUUAACACUAAUCUGCUUCAAAAUCACAGAACAACUCCGAGAUGUAUUUGUUGUCAGGGCGCCAAUAGAUUCUCUUACUCUCACUGCACUUUUUUGUUUUUUUUUCUUUGCUUCGUUACUUUACAGAACUUUCUGAUCUUUUAAAAUCCUGCAAAAGGGCUCGGAACAGACUCGAGCGGUGAAACAGCACAAAAAUAUUGUUGUUUUGGUGUAUUUCAGUUUGAGUAAUGAGGGUGAAUUUUGCACAGUUGUUAAAGUUCCAGAAAACUGGACACUGAUGUAAGUUUUCAUUUGAAGUUUUGAUGACCAAACUUUUACAGUCUUGCGUGUCUUUAUCAUGUCUGUCGGUCAGGCUAAUUUACUAUUUAUUUCUAAUGUGGGCAAAAAGCUAAACGUGUACUGGUGUCAUAUUUUCUGGGGCAGCUGUUGGGAUUUUGUUAAUAUAGUUUUGAGCACUUCACUUUUUCUUUUCCUUCUGUCAAAUCUGCAGAAACUUCCAUUUCUCUGUGACACACAGGCAGAUUAAUUUACAACUUUAAUACCUCGAGUCUGGAUGGUGAUGAUGGUGCGUUUCUAAGAGGAGUACUUGUGUGAUAAUUUUAUGUGAGAAUGUGAAUUUUUGUCAGAGGAAAAUGCUCUGACCAGGUGAGAGGUUUUUUGAUUUUAAUGCAUUUGUCAUAUCUCGUAUGAAGUAUUUCGAUUAAAAACUUUUGGAAAAAGUGA